rnacentral:rRNA from 1 species
UACGUAGGGAGCAAGCGUUGUCCGGAAUCAUUGGGCGUAAAGCGCGCGUAGGCGGCCCUGUAAGUCCGUUGUGAAAGUCAAAGGCUCAACCUUUGAAAGCCGAUGGAUACUGCAGGGCUAGAGUCCGGAAGAGGCGAGUGGAAUUCCUGGUGUAGCGGUGGAAUGCGCAGAUAUCAGGAGGAACACCAAUAGCGAAGGCAGCUCGCUGGGACGGUACUGACGCUGAGACGCGAAAGCGUGGGGAGCGAACAGG